ensembl:lncRNA
CUGGAUUAGGGGUUCCAUGGUAAUUACAGAGCAAUGGCAAAGUGCCUCUCGGCUGACCCGUGGAACAUGGUGCUGGCUGGGAGCUGCAGUGAAAACUUCUGGAUAGAUGUCAGGGCUUUUUCUCCUACUGUGAUUUAUUGAUACAUUUACCAGGAAUGAAAACAGUACAGGUCUCUGAAAACGUCACAGCAGCCUACAGAGAUUAGAUGAAAAAGUGGAGAAUUUAGUAGGGGACACUAAAAGCCUUGUAAAUGAAGUAUUCAGCUGUGCAAUUAAAUUCUAUUGCUGAGUAAUUUAUUGCAUCAUCACUGAAAAGCUGAAGGGAAGUUAUCGAGUCCUAAGGGACUGAGUAGGACAUACCCCUGUGCUAUGCCCAAGUGCUCAGCAACUCUCAGACAUCUACUGGCUGCAUCAGCAAUGUGGGAAGAAAAAAAGGCACACCACGUGCAGGAAUAACAACUGUUAUUUAAGAAAAAGCAGCUGUAUUAGUCAAGCCACAGUGUGCAUCAGCUGAGCAGAUAGGUCCCCAGGCCUGUGAUAUAUAGGGCAAUCACCCCAAGCUAUACACAGCCUUCUUGUCCCAGCCCACAUGGCUCGUCCUGGGGAAAGCAGGAGGAGAUACUGAACAAGGCCUCCUGCAAAGCUGUUAUGUACAGAUGGUUUUUUACAUCGUGCCUGGAAGGGUCAAAGAUAUUUGAGCUGUUUCACACCACUGGGGCUAGGGACAGGCUCCAUAGCCAGUGGGCAUUGGCAAAAUGUUCUGUUGGCAGCCCUCUCCCUUCUCCAGCGAGGGUCUUUUCUGCCUGCCAUGCAGCCAGUUGCAACUCACUCAAAGUGGUGGGUAGUGCUUCCAUUUGGAGAUGGACCAGUAUGCACCUCAAAGGACAAGCAGUCUUCACUACCUCCUUAGCCUCUGUAAGCUAUUUUGGCUUUACCUGAACAUUUCUCAGAGACAUCUGAAAUGGAGAAUCAAAACCUUGAUUGCAAUUAGGAAGGGGUUAAACAAAAUUAAGUGAAUAAAAGGCUCCAAACAUUUUCAGGUAAUUGUGGUCAGCAAGUUUAGCUGAACUCCUUCUGGGAGAAACUAUGGCAGAAUUCACCACGUCUUUCAGACACAUCUGUGUGUAUUUCACUGUGACCAACAGUGUCACAGAUAAGAGGUAAUUCCCUUAACAAAGGGUUAAACCAGCGGAGGACGAAUAGGUGGGAUUACAGAUGAAUUUCAGGCUACAGUGUCAGGAGAAGCAUCAGAGUUAAAUGCCCUGCUGUAUACUUUCUGAGGGUAAAACAGCCCCUCUGUAAUACAUUGUUUCCUUCAAGGCAACAAAAGAAGAGAAAUGGAUAGAAAUGGAAGCAAACAUCCUUGACUAAUGAAAGACACGAGGGCUGGCAAACUUCAAAUGACUCCAAG